UUUUCAUUUCAAAUCGAUUCACACACAUAGCAGACGCUAACACAUCAAGCGUCAUCAAUAGCGUGGUCUGUGGUGCAAUGCUAUCGCUGGAGUAAGGCGUUUACCUUCAAUUCGGGUAGCGUCAUGAUUGGCCUACCCUGAUGGCGUCAUGAUCGCUGCUGAUUGCCUUUCAAAUAGGUUUUCAGCAUUCUGCUUACACCUUUGGCAUAGAGUCACAUAUUUCACAAUCCAACAUCAAUUGGUACCAACAGCAGCCCUUCUCUCCAUCAUCCAGAAGGGUCUGAGAUCAGUGUUGGAGAUGAUGGUUCGGAACAACCCAUGGAAAGCUUAUCACUCAUUGAUGCUGUGAUGCCUGAUGUUGUUGCAAGUCGUUAACAGCAAACACAGAACAAUCAGAAACAAAAGUGGUAAGACAGAACCACCAAAUUCCAAUGGAGAUGAACCCAUGCAUUCCUAUCGCUGGGAAGAGGAAACAGGAGUAGAGAUACCUGCCAGCAAAUCUACUGUACUUCGUGGCCAUGAAUCUGAAGUUUUCAUCUGCGCCUGAACCCAACAACUGAUUUAUUGGAUUCUGGCUCUCGGAUUGUGACUCUUCUGAAGGUACCAUCAAAGAGAGAGAAAGACAUCAGAUGAAUAUCGAGGUUAUUCAGACUUACAAUCACUGAUUUUAAAUUACUAUCCUGUUUAUUGAGUAUACAGUUUAAUAAUACCAUAAAACAUCAGACCACCUAAAAAUCAUGAUUGGGGGAAAUUCAAAAAAUAAAACGCAAAAAAUAAACUGAUUUUUAAAACAUUAUCUUAUUUUUAUUGACAAAUCAAAUCAAAAUUUUUUUAUCAACGUCAAAACAGAAUAUAUACCAGCUCAACGUCCCACAAUCGAACGGUCGAGUCAAACGAAGCGCUAGAAAAAAUCAGAUUCAUGUUUGGGUUUUUUGUUCCAAGGCCGGAAAAGGAUCGGAGA